GCAGCGCCCGGGGCGAGGUUCUGUCCUACACUCCGGCUGUGGCUAUGGACAGUCAGUGCAUCACAGAACUUGGUCCCGGGAGCUCG
rnacentral:pre_miRNA from 14 species